GGCCAAACAGUGGGGCUGGACACAGGGU
rnacentral:piRNA from 1 species